rfam:Ciona savignyi cont_56743, whole genome shotgun sequence.
UACCUGGUUGAUCCUGCCAGUAGUCAUAUGCUUGUCUCAAACAUUAAGCCAUGCAAGUCUAAGUACGAGCUCUCGUACAGUGAAACUGCGAAUGGCUCAUUAAAUCAGUUAUGGUUCAUUUGAUCGUACAGUUUACUUGGAUAACUGUGGUAAUUCUAGAGCUAAUACAUGCGAGAAGCGCCGACCUCGCGGGAGGCGUGCAUUUAUCAGACCAAAAACCGGCCGCGUCUUCGGGCGCGUUCGCCUUGGUGACUCUGGAUAACUUUGCGGAUCGCACGGUCUAGCACCGGCGACGGAUCAUUCAAGUGUCUGCCCUAUCAACUUUCGUCGGUACGGUAUUUGCCUACCGAGGUUCUUACGGGUGACGGGGAAUCAGGGUUCGAUUCCGGAGAGGGAGCCUGAGAAACGGCUACCACAUCCAAGGGAAGGCAGCAGGCGCGCAAAUUACCCAUUCCCGACGCGGGGAGGUAGUGACGAAAAAUAACAAUGCAGGACUCGUUCGAGGCCCUGUAAUUGGAAUGAGUACACUUUAAAAGCUUUAACGAGUAUCCAUUGGAGGGCAAGUCUGGUGCCAGCAGCCGCGGUAAUUCCAGCUCCAAAAGUAUAUAUUUAAGUUGUUGCGGUUAAAAAGCUCGUAGUUGGAUUUUGGGCGCAGGCGGCCGGUCCGUCGCAAGAGCGUGUACUGGACGUCCUGGCCUUCCCUCCGGUUCUCCGCCGGUGCUCUUGACUGAGUGUCGGCGGCGGCCGGAACGUUUACUUUGAAAAAAUUAGAGUGUUCAAAGCAGGCUCUCGAGCCUGGAUAAUGGUGCAUGGAAUAAUGGAAUAGGACCUCGGUUCUAUUUUGUUGGUUUUCGGAGCGCGAGGUAAUGAUUAAGAGGGACAGACGGGGGCAUUCGUACUGUGCCGUUAGAGGUGAAAUUCUUGGAUCGGCGCAAGACGAACGACUGCGAAAGCAUUUCCAAGAAUGUUUUCUUUAAUCAAGAG